GUUACCGCUCAGCUGGCCCAGUCCCUGAGAAAGUGGGUUAGGGCUCCACCCUCCCUUAGUCCCCAGUGGGUCUGGACUCGAGGCCAGGGCUGAGUGGUGGUAAAUGCUGGUUGUCACUUGGACAGGAGCCCCCACCUGCAAAGAACUGUGUGCUGAGAUUCCACCAUGUUGGGCUUGCCUGCUCAACUGCUCCCAGGCACCAUCCAGAGUGUGGACAAGGGCUCUCCUUCCUACCACUGCCUUCGGGUCACAAGCGCACAGGCCAGCCUGAGAGCAAGGGCUUCCUAUACCCACCACAGCUCUCCCCAUCUCCCCAUCCCUGUCACCACGGCAGCUCUUGCCCAACCUGCAAACCCAGCUGGCCCCUCCCUAAGGACGUGAGCACCAGAUAUUGAUCACUGCCCCUAAGCAAUUGCUUCUGGUGUCCCCCAUGACACACAGGACCCUGUGCUCCACGGAGCCACGCUGGGCUUGGUACCUCAAGAAAUGCUCCCAGCAGCCCCCAGAGGAUGGCUAUACCCCCAUUCUAUAGGCCAGCACAUCUUCUGGAUACUGCUCGCCCUCACUGCGCACCCUCAUCCUUCUCGUCUCCAGACCAGAGCAGAAGUCCUGACUGGGGGCUCCAUGAGCCAUGGGCCAUGCUCCCACCCAGCUGCCCACCGGUGGUGCCUUGCCUGGGGUGAGCAGCCACCCACAGAUGAAACCAGACAAACAGCCACAGGGGCCCCCCUUCUGAACGGCUGAGUUCCUCGACGGAGCACCCGCUUUUCGCUUUCCCAGUGAGGGGCGCUGGAGUUUGCCAGCAGAGGCUUGGGUUUAACUGUGGAUGAUAUUUGUUCAGGAGUUCCAGGAGCCACGUGAAGAACUUAAGACCAGAAAUGAAAUCCUUUUCUUCAACUUAGACACAAGACGAAUACUCUGAAAUAAAGUGGACUUUGGCGGC